GCCCCCACGACUCCCAUAGUCCCACCCGGGACCCCCAUAACUCCCUCUGGGACGCCCGUAGGCGCCCCCCCGGACCCACGUACCCAUCCCGGGACCCCCGUAUCUCCCCACGGUGCACCCAUACCCGCCCCUGCGACCCCCAUACCCCGCAGGACCCCAAUGCCCCUCCUGGAACCCCAUAUCCCCCCCGGGACCCACAUAUCCCCUCCUAGGACCUUCCUAACCCUUCCAGGAUCCCUCUGGGACCCCCAAUAUGCCUUCCUCCAUGGGACCCCAGUAUCUCCCACAGGACCCCUAUAUCUCCCCCGGGACCCCAUUAACCCCCCUCAGGGCCCCCAUACUUGCCCCCAGGACCCCAGUAUCUCCCCCCAGGACCUUGUUACUGCCUGGAACCCCAAUAUCUCCCCUGGGACUCCCGUAUACCACCCAGAACCCCCGUAUCUCCCCAGGACCCCCAUAUCCCCUGUUCCCCCCGCUCAGGAGGACCCCUCCACCCUCCCACCUGAGCUAGGAGGGGUCUCCCCUCCCUGCCCCUCUUUGACUCCUCGCAGGCUGCCUCGUUUUCCUCCUCCUUCUCAGCUGGGGGGACGUGGGGCGGUGGUGUCCCCCGACGUGGGCGCAGGUGGGACGACGGCUCUGCUGCGCUGCUUCCCCUGCGAGCGGCUCUGCGGGGUCUGCCUGGUGCCCCCUGCUGCGCCCGGGGUGCUGCCGCCUGCCAUGGCCCCCCCACGCCGUCGCCUGCCCCCACGGACCUUCCGCAGCUACCUGCCACGCUCCCACCGCACCUACAGCUGCGUCCACUGCCGCGCACACCUCGCCCAGCAUGAGGAGCUCAUCUCCAAGGUGGCCCCGGGGUGGCCCUUCGGUGGCCCAUGGGGGCGGCCCUGCGGUGGCCCUGGGGCAGAGAAUGUUCCCUCUGGGUGGCCCUGGGUCAAUAAACAUCCCCUGAUGGUGGCCCUAUGGUGGCUGUGGGGCAGCAAGCAUCCCCCCAUGGUGGCCCCACAGUGGCCUUGGGUCAGUGAGUGUCCCCCAUGGUGGUCCUGUGGUGGCUCUGGUCAGUGAGUGUCCACUCAUGGUGGCCCUGUGUCAGUAAGAAUCGCUGCAUGGUGGCCCUGGGCCAGCAAACACCCCCCCCCCAUGGUGACCCUCGCUCAGUGAGUGUCCCCCUGUGGUGGCUCUGGGGUGUCCUCAGAGCAGCGAUGUCUCCAGGCUGGCAUGUGGUGUGGUGGUGAUGCAGCGGGGCAGGGGGACAGGGGAAACCCAGGGCGUGGGGCGCAGCUGGUGAUGGGUGCUAUGUCCCCCAGUCUUUCCAGGGGAGCCACGGCCGAGCCUACCUGUUCAACUCUGUGUGAGUGCGGCCAGCACCGCGACACGGGCGCCAUGAGGGGCACGGCAGGGGCAUCGGGGCUGUGCUCCUGGCCGGCCUGAGCCAGGCUGUGCUGUGCCGUGCUGGGCUGUGCCAGGCCAUGCCAGAUCAGAGUAUGCCAGAUUGUGUCGUGCUGGGCUGUGCUGUGCCUGCUCUGCCACACUGGGCUGUGCCCAGCCAUGCCAGACCAGACUGUGCCAGAUUGUGCCAUGCCGUGCCAUGCUGUGCUAUGUCUGCUCUGCCAUGCUGGGCUGCGCCAGGCCAUGCCAGACCAGGCUGUGCCAGACUGUGCCAUGCCAUGCUAUGCUGUGCCUGCUCGGCCACGCUGGGUUGUGCCAGGCCAUGCCAGACUAGGCUGUGCAAGAUUGUGCCGUGCCAGGCUGUGCUGUACCGAGCUGUGCCAUGCGUUGCUAUGCCGUGCCAUGCUGGGCUGUGCCAGGCUGUGCCAGCUGGUGCCAUGCUGAGCUGGGCUGUGCCAUACCUUGCCAUGCCAGGCUGGGCUGUGCCAGGCUAUGCCAUGCCAGUAGGUGUCAUGCCAGGCCAUGCCAUGCUGUGCUGUACCAGGCAUGCCAGGCCAGGCUGUGCCAUGCCAGCCAGUGCCAUGCCGUGCCAGUCGUGCCCGUGGUGGCAGCGUGCUCUCCAACGCAGGGUGAACGUGGGCUGCGGGCCGGCAGAGCAGCGGCUGCUGCUGACGGGGCUGCACUCGGUAGCUGACAUCUUCUGCCAGAGCUGCAAAACCACCCUGGGCUGGAAAUACCCGUGCCAGGGCGUGACGUGGUGCCCCCCAGGAGCAGGCCUUCGAGAGCAGCCAGAAGUACAAGGAGGGCAAGUUCAUCAUCGAGACGUCGCACAUGGUGAAGGAGAACGGCUGGGACUAAGUGGGAUGUGGGGGACUCCCCCAGGGGUGCCCCCCUGCCAGCCAGAGCUCCCUGGGUGCUGGGGCUUUUCUGGGGCAAUAAAGCUUUGUUUUGUAGCUGAA